UACGUAGGCAGCAAGCGUUGUUCGGAGUUACUGGGCGUAAAGGGUGUGUAGGCGGUUGUUUUAAGUUUGGUGUGAAAUCUCCCGGCUCAACUGGGAGGGUGCGCCGAAUACUGAAUGACUAGAGUGCGGGAGAGGAAAGUGGAAUUCCUGGUGUAGCGGUGAAAUGCGUAGAUAUCAGGAGGAACACCGGUGGUGUAGACGGCUUUCUGGACCGUAACUGACGCUGAGACACGAAAGCGUUGGGUAGCAAACAGG
rnacentral:rRNA from 1 species